UUCCGGUUGAUCCUGCCGGACCCUACUGCUAUCGGGGGAGGACUAAAACAUGCAAGUCGUGCGCGCCAGACGCGGCAUCCGGCUCAGUAACACGUGGCUAACCCACCCUUGAGACGGGGAAAACCCCGGGAAACUGGGGUUAAUCUCCGAUAAGAGAAGACACCUGGAAUGGGUCUCCUCUCAAAGCUUCUAUGCUCAAGGACGGGGCCGCGGCCGAUCAGGUUGUUGGUGAGGCAACGGCUCACCAAGCCUAUAACCGGUACGGGCCGUGAGAGCGGUAGCCCGGAGAUGGGUACUGAGACAAGGACCCAGGCCCUACGGGGCGCAGCAGUCGCGAAAACUCCGCAAUGCACGAAAGUGUGACGGGGCUACCCCGAGUGCUCUCCGCUGAGGAAAGCUUUUCUCUGGUGUAACAAGCCAGGGGAAUAAGGAGAGGGCAAGACUGGUGUCAGCCGCCGCGGUAAUACCUGCAGCUCAAGUGGUGGCCGCUAUUAUUGGGCCUAAAACGUCCGUAGCCGGCCUAUUAAAUGCCCGGGUAAAUCGUAUGGCUUAACCAUACGAAUUCCGGGUAGACUGAUAGGCUUGAGAUCGGGAGAAGUUAGAGGUACUCCUGGGGUAGAGGUGAAAUCCUGUAAUCCUAGGGGGACCACCAGUGGCGAAGGCGUCCAACCAAAACGGCUCCGACGGUAAGGGACGAAGCCCUGGGGCGCAAACGGGAUUAGAUACCCCGGUAGUCCAGGGUGUAAACGCUGCAGGCUUGGUGUUGGGGGUCCUACGAGGGCGCCCAGUGCCGGAGAGAAGUUGUUAAGCCUGCCGCUUGGGGAGUACGUCCGCAAGGAUGAAACUUAAAGGAAUUGGCGGGGGAGCACAGCAACGGGUGGAGCGUGCGGUUCAAUUGGAUUCAACGCCGGA
rnacentral:rRNA from 1 species